rnacentral:rRNA from 1 species
GAGUUUGAUCAUGGCUCAGAUUGAACGCUGGCGGCAUGCCUUACACAUGCAAGUCGAGCGGCAGCGCGGGGGCAACCCUGGCGGCGAGCGGCGAACGGGUGAGUAAUGCAUCGGAACGUGUCCUCUUGUGGGGGAUAACCAGUCGAAAGACUGGCUAAUACCGCAUGAGAUCGAGAGAUGAAAGCAGGGGACCGCAAGGCCUUGCGCGAGAGGAGCGGCCGAUGCCGGAUUAGCUAGUUGGUGGGGUAAAAGCCUACCAAGGCGACGAUCCGUAGCUGGUCUGAGAGGACGACCAGCCACACUGGGACUGAGACACGGCCCAGACUCCUACGGGAGGCAGCAGUGGGGAAUUUUGGACAAUGGGGGAAACCCUGAUCCAGCCAUGCCGCGUGUGUGAAGAAGG